GCGGUCGCCGGCGGCGGCGGCUCCGGUGACCGGCCGGAGGGAAGGGAGAGGAACUCCUGUUGAGGCGGCGCAGCUUGGUGCACGCUGGUUUCUCCGGAUCGACCCCCUACUCAGAUCUGCACGCCCCUGAUGAUUGGAGGUGUGCCUUUCACAUGUUCGUUGAGUUGCAGCAACAAGGACAGAUGGCCAUCUUCACAGGUUAUGCCCCUUACUGUAAUUUGCAUUCAGUUAUGUGCAGUAAUAAUGCCAUAUUUGUUAGCCUGCUAGCUGUUUCCAGAUUUUUUUAGACAUGAUUGACUGCUUCUACACAAAAAGAGUUUGUCGAAAAUAAGAGCAAUCCCAUUGUUGCUACAGAGCCUGAAGAUUCUUUGCCUUUCUUUGAACGGUUUCAGUUUUUUCUUUCAUAUGGCUACAAUUAUUUGAUUGGUCCAUGUAGAUUUAGGCAACAUGAGAUGAGCCGAUGAUAUAUAUUGUAAUAUACGAUGUCUAUUGCUACAAGUGUUGAUGUCUUGGUGAUGGCAGGUUUUGCAAGUAAUUGAAAUGCUUUUUGAGUAGAGGAUAAUUAGAGAUAUAAUGUUCUACCUGAUCUUGAGGUAAUGAUUAUUGAUAGCUAAUGACAUGAGGGAGAGGGGGACAAGCCCCUUUAGCUACUGCAAUGCGGUUGUGCAUACAAAUGUGCUACUCAUAUUCCACUUUUACACGAGCUAGGCGCGAGAAGCAGGUUCAGAAUUCAGCUCCAUUUGAUUUACAUUUAGAUCAUCUUGCUGCAACACCAUCACUUUUCUUGAUAGCAAACAACAAUUUUUAGUAAUCAUAUAUAGCUUUUCUUUGGUUUGUUUAUUCUAUUAUACCAUAGAUAUCAUGAGAAACUGUUAAUCGCUUAAGGAGGGUGUUCUGUUCACUCAAAAUCAACCGCCUAAUGGUCUGAUUAGUUUAUGUAUGUGAAAAUUUAUUUUAAUAAUUAUAGUUGCAAUUUCCAGUCAAGGCAUAUGUUCUUUUAUACUUUUAUAGUGAGUCUACAAUAGGUUGAAUAGAUUCGAUGAAGUGACGCCAAGCUUCUGGCAUUCUCUGUGACAAGAGAGUGCCACAAAAGCUAAAAGGUAAGUUUUACAGGACGGCGGUCCGACCCGCAAUGUUGUAUGGCGCUGAGUGUUGGCCGACUAAAAGGCGACAUGUUCAACAGUUAGGUGUGGCGGAGAUGCGUAUGUUGAGAUGGAUGUGUGG